UACGGAGGAGGCAAGCGUUAUCCGGAAUUAUUGGGCGUAAAGCGCGCGCAGGCGGUUUCUUAAGUCUGAUGUGAAAGCCCCCGGCUCAACCGGGGAGGGUCAUUGGAAACUGGGAAACUUGAGUGCAGAAGAGGAAAGUGGAAUUCCAAGUGUAGCGGUGAAAUGCGUAGAGAUUUGGAGGAACACCAGUGGCGAAGGCGACUUUCUGGUCUGUAACUGACGCUGAGGCGCGAAAGCGUGGGGAGCAAACAGG
rnacentral:rRNA from 1 species